GGGCCUUUAGCUCAGAUGGCUAGAGCGCUUGCUCGACACGCAAGAGGUCACUGGUUCGAGUCCAGUAAGGCCCA
rnacentral:tRNA from 1 species